AAGGGUAUAGCUCAGUGGUAGAGUGUGUGUUUAGCAUGCAUGAGGUCCUGGGUUCGGUCCCCAGUACCUCCA
rnacentral:tRNA from 1 species